rnacentral:tRNA from 1 species
CGUAUAGCAUAAUGGCAUUGCAAUUAACCUUCAUUUAAUGAUAGUGGGUUCGAUCCCCACUGCG